UUUAAACUCCCCGACGAUAGAUGGCGCUAAAGAGCGCAUCCGUAAACCUCUUUACCCCAAAGAGUCCCAAAGUUGGCAACGGAAGAUUUUCAAACUGACAACCGCGGGAGAAACUCAGGAGGAGCAAAGAUUAAGAAGUCGGGGUUUAUCCUCCGAAGCCGUACAGGGUGCGUCCCUGUCUCUUCAGGGCAUAGACCACAUCCAUGGCGGUCACCGUCUUCCUCUUGGCGUGCUCGGUGUAGGUGACGGCAUCGCGGAUCACGUUCUCCAGGAAGACCUUCAGCACACCGCGGGUCUCCUCGUAGAUCAGACCGGAGAUGCGUUUCACUCCGCCGCGGCGAGCCAGACGGCGGAUGGCGGGCUUGGUGAUUCCCUGGAUGUUAUCACGGAGGACUUUACGGUGACGUUUGGCACCUCCUUUGCCGAGUCCUUUUCCUCCCUUCCCUCUUCCGCUCAUGUUCACUGGUCGGUUUGGUACAGAGAUGAUGAACACGAGUCAGUUCACAGAUAUUUAAAGCCAGUCUGAGGACGUGAUGGAAGACGAAGGCGGGGCUAUAACGUGGUUCUGCAGCGCCUCCUGCUGAACGAAUGUCUGUGUUUUGUUGUCUUCUGCAGGACCAAAUAAAUGCUGUAAAGAUCAA